UUUUUUUUUUUUUUUCCAGUUAGAGUUUUAAGACUGCGUGUGAGCUAAGGAUUCUGACAUUCUUGAAACUCCUCUUGGAACUGCUUGGCCAUCUCCCAUAUAGCCUGUCAGGCAGGACGAUAUGUUCUGAAUAAACUUUGCUUCUGAAAUUCCACCCUUGGUCUGGCUGACGGCUAAGUUAGGUAAUUGGAUUGACACUGGCUAGUCCUAAAUACAUGACCUACUCUUGUGAAUCAAAAUCCAACUGAAGCUCAGAAUGGCUGAAUACAUGACUCAGGGCUCACUAGUCUGCCCAAUAUCUGGAUCCACUCUGAUUCUCAAGUUUAAGUUCUUUCCACAGCAUGCCACCUAGAAUCACCAUCAUGGCCCAUGGUUCACAUUUGUUCAUUUUCAAGGCAGACCGGCUGUGGGUUUUAAGCAUGUUUUCAAAGGAAAAACCUGCAGUGCUUAGGAAUAUUAACACAGAGCAUUUGUUCCACACUUCACAGGGUUCAUAGACCUGACAUGACCGAUUUUCACACUGUCUAAGGAAUACAGUCCCGAUCACACUGGCCCCAUUUUAUAGGUGACAGAUUCUAAUUUUUGAGCUGAAACAACUUGCCUAGGACCAAGCAGCUGAUGGGUGCAAAAGCUGAUCUUGUUAAUUCAAAACCUACCAGGUUAACUUUAAACUCAACAUUGAGAAUCAUUCAUGUCACAUAAUGCAUCUCGACUGAGGGGUAUGGAUUGUUUCACUCAGGGUGGGAAGAACAGAGUAUUUACACAUAAGAAACACUGAAAAUGGACUAUUCAAAGGAUUAACAAGCUCACACACAAAAAGGAAGCAAAAAUUGUGAAAUGCUGCCAAUAUACCAUGCACCUCUCUUUAUAAGCAGGUAGGUUUUAGUUGUGAUUAUUUUUCCUGAAGUUCAGUGAAUCUUGUGUUCAAAUGACACACUCUAUUCUAAGUAAAUGGAAUAGGCAGAUAAUAAGCUGGAACAACGUUGACUUCAGUGAAAACUUUUCCUGUUAAUACCCACUGGCUUGAAGUUCACUGACUUGGACUUUGCCAGAUUCCUUUCAAAUCUCCAAUCCUACUCCCCACUCCUACCCUUAGGACUGCUUCAUUUGCCAAGAUUUUCUUGACUGGCUGGAACGGUGAAGCUAUAAAGAAAAAACUGUGAAAAUUGACUGCCUCAGUCUGGAAUUUGCCACUAAGAAGCCCUCAUGUCAUGGUUCAAACUCAUGGUUGAAAACUAGCAGUAACCUUCCCGGGAGGGAAAACACUCCUUACUUUGCUUAAAGCUGUUCAACAAUCUUUUUUAGGCUGGACUCCUGAAACCUCAGACACCUGAGGUACUGCAUCAUUCCUGGGGAAACCAAAGCAUCAUUUUAACUUUGUCCGCAAAUUUAGGCUAAUGGGAGUUAGGCUGCCACUGCCAAGAGUAAUGAGUUAUACUCUGCUGCUGCAGAAGCAGAGUCUGCGGUCUAGUAAUGAAAAUAUUUUAAGUGGAAUUUCUAGUGACCAGCACUAGCCCAAAGUGAUUUUAUUCCAAAGAUGGUCAGGAAUACAACAUUCUCAUUUUGAAUAUUGCAUAUAAAGGGUGGCUUUCUGAGUUCAAGAAGUAAAAUUGCUACAAAAGACAUUGGGUGUCAAGUCUGCAACAUAUAGAACAAGGAACACCUGUGUGAUAAGGAAGGCCCUUUGUAGAUGCAUGGCUGCAAUGAAUGGCAAUUCAUUUCCUCAGUGCAAUAAAAUGUAACUUAAAUCUUCAUUAAAGCUUUUGACUUUCUUUGCUUUCCCUUCAACCUUACUGCAAAAGAUCCAUCAUUUCAACUGUAAAGGUGCUUUAUGGAAAUCAAGCUGUGAGACUGAACUAACUUAUCCAAAAAUCUUGGUUUUUAAAAGGGUUUAAACUUCCAAACGGGCAAAUAGAAUAAGACAUGGGAGCAAAACAGAUGAGUAUAAUGUCUCCUCUCUUAAUGAGAAUAACGGUACCCCUGAAAUAGUGGGUAGGCAAGAUGUCUGAUUCUUAUUCUAAGAAUCUGAAUACGAAAUCAUAUGCGGAUUUUUAUAAUAAAGCUAGGAGAAUUUCAAUGUAGAAAUCUUAAAAGUAAAUCUGGCCAGGAAAUUUUCUUAAUCCAAAUUUCAUUAAUUUAAUGAUAGAAUUGUGAAACACUUUUGUUUUUCAAAACUCAUCUGUAAUUUGACAGUCCUUUAAGGUAACUCUAUUUUUCUAGAACAAAACAAAACAAAAAAAAGGAUAACACUUUGGAUAAAAGGCAGCGUCUCACACAGGAUUCUGGUAUUUAACUCUCAUAAGUAUCUCCAUCCAGACUUGAUUCUAGUGAUAUUUUCAAAUAAAUAAUCCAGUUAUUUUCUCCUCGUUUUCUAGCAACAGAAUUUUUGAGUCAAAGGAAAUGCAUGAACUCAACAGGUUUUAAAAAUGAUUUGCUAACCUGCUUCCAGGAUUUGCUUAUCCUAACAUCGGGUGUAAGAAUGUUUAUUUUCCUCAACAAAGAACAACAACAGAAAAUAAAAUUUUAAAAAAUCUAUUCAAAAAGAGGGAAAGGGAAUUGUUAAAAUGUUUACUGUAAGAUCAAAAGGUAACGGGCAAUAAAGGCAGAGACCAAACAAGAUCUUGGGUAUCAUUUUUGCCUUCCGCAUCAGAAUUUUUGCUAUCUUGACUUUAAGAAAGUGAAACCAUUCAAGUAAAGAUUAAAAAAAAAAUCAGUGAAAUCCUCUUCCACAUUUUAGCUAUUCUCCAGGAUAACUCAAUGAAUUCCUAUCCAGUGGGACUUUUCAAUCACACACCACAAACAGUUUAAGUACCUAGAACCCCCCAAAUCAGUUAAAAGUUACCUAAACAUACCUUUUCAAGUAAUAGAUGAAUUAUGUCUGCUUUUGAAAGAUUUGUAAAAAAAAAUUACAUUCACAAAUAUGGAAGGAAAGGAGAGAAUACAAUAUAGAUUGUAGUUACAUUCCCCCUUUGUUUACUUUUGGCAAAUUUAGAAACAGCAUUGUCUUUUCAGAGGCUCAGAACAGCAGCAGGAAUUUCUUAGGUCUAAUAGGUACCCACAGUCUAGUGGGAGUAAAUAAACAGCAACAUCAUACAGUAUAGGAUCAUGAGUUUCCUGUGUUUUAACUCCAUUAGUUAAUGUUUGAUCAUCAAAAAAACCCCACUUAUUUUAUUCAAAUUAAACAGCAACUAAACCACCCUGAACAGGCAAACGGCUUUGGAGACAGAGCUCAGGGCCAGGCUGCACAGCUGAGACAACUCUAGCCCUUUCCAUAUUUAGAGCCUCAUUUUCACUUAGCAGAAAUUCCUGACUGGCUCAUGUCAAAAUCAGAUCCCGUCAAUGCCCAGUCAACAGUUCUUCACCGAAGCCUCAUGCAUUCCCUUGUGUGGACAUACCACAAUUUAUUUAUCCAUUCCAAAACUGAAGGGCACUUGGGUUGUGAAACCACAGCUUUAUCUCAUUGUUUCUUCAUUAACAGAAUUUAAGGUUUAUGGUCAAAAUUCCUGUUUUUAGAUCUCUGAGUCACUCUUAAGCUACAAUCCUUUUUACAGCCUCUGGCCUUGAGAUUCUACUUAUUUGGAUUCUGAAUUUUUUAAAUCUUUAUCACUUUUAUUUCCUUCUCUCCCUAUUGUAAACUUGAAGGUAGACCACUUCUUUCCAAGGUUACCAUCACUUCCACAUCCAAAGCCUAGUUUUCUCCAUAUAAAUUAAAUGCAAAUGUUUUCAAGAACAAAGUUUGUUUGAAUAUAUUAUUGCAUCAGUAAAAAAUCAGACAUGGUAAAUGAAAUUACAUUUGGUUUUACCCUUAUCUUUAGCUAAACCCAUGCAAUGUGGUUUCUGUUAAUGGAGCAAGAGUUUCUUUCAGUCUCCCCUUACUAUUGAAAAUUUUGUUAUUGUGCAGUGAUGAAAAUAAAUGGUAGCUACUGUUUUAAAAAUAAACGUCUUUAUGCAAGUUGGAUUUAAUAAAAUAUUAGCUCAUACAUGAAAGAAAAUGUUACAAAAGUGAUCUAUCUCUGCCUUUAUCUGUGUUCUGCUCUUUUGUAAAUACUUCAUAAAGCUGUGGUUUUAUGACAGUAUAAUUGGUUACCAUCUUCUAAGACAACUUGGAGAUAUAAAAUGAAAAUAAAUCAAGAAACAAUAGCAUUUUAGAAUGAGGCCAGCAUAUACACAAGCAUAUAAACCUCAAAUUUAUCUAUCAAAACUGUAAGAAAGUACAUCCCUAGUAAAAUAACAUCUAGUGCUCUAGCAACUUAAUUUUGACACAAAAUGUGUGAUGUGAAUACCCACUACCAGAUAAAUAUUUAAAGAUAUUCAUUUGGCUGUUACUUUUCUCCUUCUUCAAGUAGAAAAUCAUAGGCUUUGUUAGAAACAUGAAAAUACAUUAUUACCAAAGUUCGGAGUAAAUACCCUCUACCUGCUGAAAAGAAGAAUACAAUUAAAAGAAAACAAGACCUAUUCAAGAUAUUUAUGUCUUUUUAGAGAAAUAAUAGUAAAAUUUAAUAAUGUGCCUCUGUAUAUUACUAAAUAUUAUUUAAAGUUUAUAUUUGUGUGUAAUAUAAAUUUUUUCAUUUUUCUUUUUAAGCAAUUGCUUAAAUAUAUAAAAGGAAAAGAGCUACAGUCUCCAUAAAUCCUUUGUUCUAAUAUACUGAGUCCAACAGAUAAUCAAUAUGGCUUUUUUCAAUUCCAGAAAAUCAGAAUUGAAAGUCUUUAUGUUGAUUGGGUAAAAUAAGAACUUAGUUACAUCUUUGAUACACGUUUCUAUUGUCAAAUAUAAAUAAUAGGAAAAAAGAAAAACAGAAAAGCAAAGAUAUUUUGAUAAAACCUUGACAAAGAGGCAAAGGGGACCCUACCCUGCAAAGAAUAAAGAAGUAAAUAAAUCACUGAAAAUAACUUACCAUAGGAAUCAAGAGGAAAGUUUAGAAACUACUUUAUCAUUCUCACUAGUGCCCAAAAUGUAUAGGUAAAAAUUAAAAGCAACAGCAUGCAAUAUACUGGAGAUAUGUGAGACAAGGAAUGAUUUCAGGUAUAUUAAAAUCACUAUAAAAUGUAAAAGCUGAAUAAAAAUCCACAUUGGAAAGCAGAUAUUUACACUUCAGAAUUUACAAUGCAGAAAAUAAAAUCAAGGAUCUUGAGCACAUAGAAAGUUCCCCCAGAAUUCAGAAGAAACGCCAAAGAUAUUAAAACAAGAAAACCAUGGUAAGCACGGAAGGCAGAAAACAGCGAUCUAACCUAUGGAUUGAAGCUGCUGAGGAAGGAGCACUAACCUAAGGAGAAGUCAUAAUAAAAGAAAACAAAACUGUCUUUUAUUCUAGAAUUCAACAAAAAAGUUCUUACUAUGCACGUAAGCACUAAUUCCAUUCCAGCCAAAAAACAGCAGAAAGUGACCUUAUAUGUAGAUGGACAUAUAUGUAGAAAGGACAGAGGAAGGUAAAAUUAAAAUAAAAUAAAAUGCAGUACAAAGAAAGACAAGGGGAAGAGGAGGGAUGAAAGGAGAAAGAAAAUGAGAAAAGAAUUAGAGAAAUAAGGCUGCCUUUGAUAUAAUGACAACAACGAGAGCAACAAAAUAUGUUGUCUGGAUUUGGCUUUCCCCAGGCAUUAAAUUCAGGCCAGAGGCAUAAUGCUGACAGAGCCUCGUGAAUAAGACAGCGUGGUGCGAGGUCAGCCCCUACUUUUACUGGUGAAUUAAAGCAACAGAAGGGCAGUAACGGAGCUAUGCCAUGGCUCAGGACACACCACACUUAGAUGCUCAUGUUUACAAGUGUUCUUUAAGAUUUAAGAUUACUACAGCCAAUGUUGAAAAGAAACAAAUCCACAAAUCAGGCUUCAGGUAAGACUGGAUUGGUGAGUCAACUUUAACUGGGUUUAAAUCUCAAAAUAAUCCCAAGGGGUUUUGUGCAGUCUAGGGCAGCUGGAUGCUGCAAAAUUCCAACAGCUUUUCUUCUGGAUCUGUCCCACUACCAGUCACAAAAAUAGUUUCUUAAGCUAUAUUUUUACCCAUGGUUCAAACAAAAUGUUUCGUAAUUUUAAUGAUUAUUUACUAUAAUAGGUAGCACUGGUUCCAUUUUUGGUAAUAUUCCUUAACUAACAAUACUGAAUGUGUUACUAGGAGACUUAUUAGUCAAAAAGGCUCAGUUUUCUUUCACAAAAGCCAAGGUGUUACAGAAAUCAACACUGUUAUGGUACUUAAGGAAUAUAUACACAUGCAUAUAUAUAUGUAUGUACAUAUAUAUUGUUAAUUUUAAGUUUAUUGAAUGGCAUAUGACAGUUAUCCAUUUUUAUUUUACAGUGAAGACUAAUAAUUCAUCCAGUAACAUGGAGUUUCCGUCAUGGCACAACAGAAAUGAAUCCGACUAGGAACCAUGGGGUUGCGGGCUCAACCCCUGGCCUCGCUGAGUGGGUUAAGGAUCCGGAGCUGCCUUUAGCUGUGGUGUAGGUAGCAGAUGUGGCUCGGAUCCCACAUUGCUGUGGCUGUUGUGUAGGCUGGUGGCUACAGCUCUAGUUAGACCCCUAGCCUGGGAACCUCCCUCCAUAUGCUGAGGGUGCAGCCCUAAAAAGACAAAAGACAAAAAAAUAAAUAAAUAAAAUAAUU
rnacentral:lncRNA from 1 species